rnacentral:misc_RNA from 1 species
UAUCACCUCUCAAGCCUAGCUUGUUGUUGGAUCUAGGUGGUGCUUUAAGCACAACCGGUCCCAAAGACAAUGACGGCGUCUGUGAGGACCCCAGUACACUGAGCUUUUAAUAGCACGUGCCAGGCGGAAAUCCAGGCCCGGUCUUAAUAAUUUUUACCAAGGUUGACCUCGGAUCAGGUAGGAAUACCCGCUGAACUUAA